UACGAAGGGGGCUAGCGUUGCUCGGAAUCACUGGGCGUAAAGGGCGUGUAGGCGGUCAAGUAAGUGGGAUGUGAAAUCCCUCGGCUCACCCGAGGACCUGCAUCCCAAACUGCUUGGCUUGAGUAUGGGAGAGGAUGAGGGAAUUCCCGGUGUAGCGGUGGAAUGCGUAGAGAUCGGGAAGAACACCCGUGGCGAAGGCGACAUGCUGGGUUGCACCUGACGCUGAGUUGCGAAAGUGUGGGGAGCAAACGGG
rnacentral:rRNA from 1 species